AAAUGAUAUAGAAAACAUAGUGAGAUCUAUGUGGGGUUAUGAGUGUUACUUUUCAUCUGUUAGCUCAAACUCUAGAGGUGUAGCUAUUUUGUUCAAUAAUAAUUUUGAAUGCAAAGUGUUGAAAGAAAAAAAAAUAUAAAUGGAAACUAUUUGAUUUUAGAUAUUCUUGGGGAAAAUAGAAAGAUAUAACUAUUGUAUGAUUGAACGGAC
rnacentral:lncRNA from 1 species